UACGGGGGGGGCAAGCGUUGUUCGGAAUUACUGGGCGUAAAGGGCUCGUAGGCGGCCAACUAAGUCAGACGUGAAAUCCCUCGGCUUAACCGGGGAACUGCGUCUGAUACUGGUUGGCUUGAAUCCGGGAGAGGGAUGUGGAAUUCCAGGUGUAGCGGUGAAAUGCGUAGAUAUCUGGAGGAACACCGGUGGCGAAGGCGGCAUCCUGGACCGGUAUUGACGCUAAGGAGCGAAAGCCAGGGGAGCAAACGGG
rnacentral:rRNA from 1 species